AAGUAAAGUGGAACACAGGACAGAAAGAAAUGGAACGCACAGUUCCAUUAUGCUUCCUCUUCCUGUGUACAGUGUACACAGAACAGGUUCUACCCUCCCAACACUAUACUGUUUCUAUUAGCCCACAGGCCUGUCAUGUAACUGUAGCCACGCCCCCAGCACACAGCCACUUCCUGACCUCGUCUUAUCAGCACUGUUUAGAUGCCACAAGAAAGCAGUCUCAAUCAACAAAAUAUGUUGAUUUACUGCCGUCCAGGCCAAAGGGUUCCCUACAAGCGUGGAAGAAUAGAAAGCUAUUGCAGAGGACUUUGACAGGCGGUUGAAUUUCCCAAACUGUGGUGGUGCGAUAAGACUGGAAACAUGUGCGCAUCACCACACCCACCAACAGCGGGUCAGACUUCUUCAAUUAUAAAGGCUACUUUAGCAUUGUUCUCAUGGCAGUGGUCAAUGCAAACUAUGAAUUUAUUUUAAUGGAUGUUGGGAAAAAUGGUUGUUGCUCGGAUGGUGGAUCCUUGCAAAAUACAUGCUUCUAUGAUAGGCUCACCACCAACUUCAUUCAUCUGCCGCCUGUGGAGCAAACAAAGGGGCAGAUUUAUUAAGCCUGGUGAAGUGAUAAAGUAGAAGGUGAUAACGCACCAGCCAAUCAGCUCCUAACUUCCAUGUUGCAGGAUGGGUUUGAAAAAUUACAGUUAAGAGCUGACUGGCUGGUGCGUUAUCACCUUCCACUUUAUCACUUCACCAGGCUUAAUAAAUCUGCCCCAUAGAAUGGCCUGGGAUUUGUGUUUGUGGCAGAUGAGGCCUUCGCACUGCACGAACACAUAAUGAAUCCCUACCCGCAAAGAGUCCUGAACCACGAUAGGCGCAUUUUCAACUACCGCCUUUCUAGGGCCCGUCGGGUUGUUUAGAAUGCAUUUGGCAUUCUCAGCAACCGGUUCAGGAUCUUCCACAAACCCAUCACCAUGAGGCUGGACAAAAUUGACUGUGUAGUAACAGCAUACUGUAUACUGCACAACAUGCUCCAACGCAAGGCCACGAGGCAAAUGCAUUUGCUCCCAGCAGGACCGGAAGACCCCAACCAGCCAGUGGAGACAUUGCAGAUUUCCUCGGUGGGACCACCUGCAGUAACUUUAUGCGGCACUGCAAGGGCAAAAGAGGUCAGGGAAUAUAUUAGGUAAUAACAAUUAAAAAGCAACUUACCCCUUCGGCCUCCUCCACAUCCAGACUUCCCUCCUCAGACUCUGCCAUCACCACUUGGGACUCCUUAGCUGACCGUUUCUCCAGGAGGAAAUUUACUUCUUUGUAGUACCACAGCUGCGGCAUAUACACCUUGUCUGCACCGACCCCUGACCUCUUGGACUCAUCCACCUUGCGGUUCUCUUUUACAAAAACUGUCCGUAUAGUGGCAAUUUUCUUCCGGACCCAGGACACUGAGGCAGCAAAGAAGGUGGGCUUUGAGUACUCCACCAGGUGGUUAUGAGCAGCCUCCCUCUUCUGUUUGUUGCUGUAGUCCGGUGAGGACAUCAGCCACAGACACUCCUCCUCACGGUACAGGUUGAUAAAGCCCAAUAGGAAAUCACGUCUCUCAUAGGACAUCUGCAGAAUGCAAAAAAAGGAAAAUGAAUAAACAUGAAAAAAGUUCCAUUAUUCUGGUUAAAUAACGUUUGUUUUCUAGUAUUAUUCUGGUUAAAUAAAGUUUUUUUUCUAGUA